rnacentral:lncRNA from 1 species
GGUGAUAAUCACGGGUCCGGCCAUGCUUCCCACGUAGGUUUGGCCAAGCCACCUGACCAGGAGGUGGAAGUGCAUCAGGCUCCAGGCAGGUUUGCAGAAGGCUUCCUGGAGUGUCAGAGAGAAAGUUCUCUGGGGCUCUAUAACCCCGAACGUGGACAAGUUGAGGCCUGCACCUGGCUCUAGGAUCCAACCAGUGCACGGUCUAUGCAGACCUGGCCAAGUGUCAUGCUGUUGUAGCCAAGACUGAACUUGGUGUUCUUUAUUUGCAGAUAUUUAAAUAUAACCCAGUUUUUCUUCACGUAUAUAGUAAAUCUCUUUAUUACUUAACCCUGUUUUUCACUCCUGCAGUUUGAAAGUCAGAAAAGUGACAGUGUCCUGACUGCAGGGAUUUUUUUUUUUCAUUAAGCCUGGGGUCUCUAAUAAG